rnacentral:rRNA from 1 species
GAUUGUCGGGAGUUAAGAAAUGCAAGGGUGUAAAUAGCAUCCUUGCUUGACCAAGGCUCCAGAGGAAGCCACGGCUAACUCUGUGCCAGCAGCCGCGGUAAUACAGAGGUGGCAAGCGUUGUUCGGAAUUAUUGGGCGUAAAGAGCACGUAGGCGGCUCUGCAAGUCAGCUGUGAAAGCCUUCUGCUUAACGGAAGAACAGCAGUUGAUACUACAGGGCUUGAGUGCGGGAGGGGAGAG